ACAUCAUCAAGAGCAGCAGAGGGACUGGCCCUGUGAAGCUGCGGCAACCUUCCGGAGGGAAAGGUGCCAAUUCCAGCAGAGUAUAUCUGACAGAUGAAUG
rnacentral:ncRNA from 2 species